rnacentral:rRNA from 1 species
UACGGGGGGAGCAAGCGUUGUUCGGAUUUACUGGGCGUAAAGGGCGCGUAGGCGGCCAGCACAAGUCAGUUGUGAAAUCUCCGAGCUUAACUCGGAAAGGUCAACUGAUACUGUGCGGCUAGAGUGCGGAAGGGGCAACUGGAAUUCUCGGUGUAGCGGUGAAAUGCGUAGAUAUCGAGAGGAACACCUGCGGCGAAGGCGGGUUGCUGGGCCGACACUGACGCUGAUGCGCGAAAGCCCAGGGGAGCGAACGGGG